GUGGUGGUGGUGGUGGCGGCAGUACAUAAUGCUCAACAACUUUUUUUUUUUUUUUAUUCCAAACUUAAGAUUUUUCUUUUAGGGGUUCUUCGAUAUCGAGAAUGUCGAGCACGAAACGUGCGCAACGUGCGCGCGAGACAAAAAAAAUCUUUACAUUUUUUUCUUUAUACACACGAAAGUUUUCAUCACCAAUCAACAAUCUUCUUGUAUACAAAAGGCGGGCAAAAAUGAUUACAAUCGAUUAAUCAUGUCAAACGAUCGACAAGAUAAUCAUCAUCAUCAUCAUCAUGUACAAAGAAUUGGGCUUGUUAAAAUUAAAAAAAAAUUACCAUUCAGUAAAAUUCAUAUCUUUGUUCGUUUGUAAACCGGCUCGAAAUAAAAAUCCAGAAUUAAUGACAGGAAUUGACACUAGAUUUCGCUCAAUAUGAUUCAUAUGGUUGUAAGAUGAAAAAAAAUUCGAAUUUCCCACCAAAUUUCAAAGUUCCUGUUUUGUUUUAUUUCAUUCGAUUAUCUGCAGAUGAAAGAUCUAGACCUGGCUAAUAAAUUAUGAUUCACAAUAAACAUACAAAUAUGAAUCAUACAAAAAUUUAUUACUUGUUGCUGCUCAUCAUCACUCAUUUUCUUCUUGGAAAUCAAUUCCGUUUCAUUUAUAUGGUAUUCAUUAUUGGAAAUAAAAAGAAAAUACAGUCAUAUUCGCUGUUUUAAUGACAAUGAUCACUUGCGUAACUAUUGUGUUAUAACCAAAUUAUUACUGUAGUAGCAAUAAUAAAGCAACAAAAAGUCAUAUUCA